AACGAACGCUGGCGGCAUGCCUAACACAUGCAAGUCGAACGAGACCUUCGGGUCUAGUGGCGCACGGGUGCGUAACGCGUGGGAAUCUGCCCUUGGGUUCGGAAUAACUCGCCGAAAGGCGUGCUAAUACCGGAUGAUGACGUAAGUCCAAAGAUUUAUCGCCCAAGGAUGAGCCCGCGUUGGAUUAGCUAGUUGGUGAGGUAAAGGCUCACCAAGGCGACGAUCCAUAGCUGGUCUGAGAGGAGGAUCAGCCACACUGGGACUGAGACACGGCCCAGACUCCCACGGGAGGCAGCAGUGGGGACUAUUAGAGAAUGGCCUAAGGCGUGAUCCGGCCGUGACGCGUGAGUGAUCAAGUCCUUAGGGUUGUAAAGCUCUUUUGCCAGGGCAGAUAAUGACCGGACCGGGAGAAUAAGCUCCGGCUAACUCCGUG
rnacentral:rRNA from 1 species